UUAUACAAUUGAUGCUAGUUAAUAUUAUUGGUUUAUUAUAAAUAUUUUUUAUUUUGAUUAUAUAUUUUUUGUUUUUGGGUGGAAUCUUAAAUUUUAAUUAUUAUUUUUAUUUUAUUUUAUUAAAUUCAAAAUUUAAACUAGGAUUAGAUACCCUAUUAUUUUGUAUGUUAAUUUUUGCCUGGGUAGUAUUAGUUAUGUUCUUUAAACCUAAAGAAGUUGGCGGUGUUUUAGUCUAUUUAGAGGAACUUGUCCUAUUAUCGAUAGUCCUCGUUUUAUCUUUCUUUAUCUUGUUUUUCAGUUUGUAUACCGCCGUUAUAAGUUUAUAUUAUUAGAUUAUUUAAUUAACUAUUUAUUUUAUAAGAUUUUAUUUCA
rnacentral:rRNA from 1 species